GAGAUCGUACUUCUAGGGAUCAGUCCUAUAGUACGUAUCACCAGGACGUCAAACAAACUUGACCCUGGCCAACCAACCGCGAUGAUGAACAGUGCGGCCUGGUCCUGAGCGUGAAGCGGGUGUGUGGCUGUCCGUCUGGCUGGCUUCUCACGAAGUCUGUUCGUGCGGACUCGGCCGCCUCCUUGU
rfam:Schistosoma margrebowiei strain Zambia genome assembly, scaffold: SMRZ_scaffold0000578